rnacentral:lncRNA from 1 species
ACUAUUAGACAAAAGUCCUAAUCUAGUUGUGCAUGUCAUCAUAAGUUGUCCGCUUAUAUUAUAUUCUUUUUAUUAUAGAUUAACUACAUAUAUGCCAUCCUCACUAUCACUGCGAGGUAUAUUAGAUGCUAACAAAUUGAUCAGACCAAACUUUAUGGACUAGUUGAGAAAUUUAAGAAUAGUUCUCACACAGAAGAAAAUCUCCUAUAUACUGAAUUCACCUACACCCG